GAUGAACGCUGGCGGCGUGCCUAAUACAUGCAAGUCGAGCGAACAGACGCGGAGCUUGCUCCUCUGACGUUAGCGGGGGACGGGUGAGUAACACGUGGAUAACCUACCUAUAAGACUGGGAUAACUUCGGGAAACCGGAGCUAAUACCGGAUAAUAUAUUGAACCGCAUGGUUCAAUAGUGAAAGACGGUUUUGCUGUCACUUAUAGAUGGAUCCGCGCCGCAUUAGCUAGUUGGUAAGGUAACGGCUUACCAAGGCAACGAUGCGUAGCCGACCUGAGAGGGUGAUCGGCCACACUGGAACUGAGACACGGUCCAGACUCCUACGGGAGGCAGCAGUAGGGAAUCUUCCGCAAUGGGCGAAAGCCUGACGGAGCAACGCCGCGUGAGUGAUGAAGGUCUUCGGAUCGUAAAACUCUGUUAUUAGGGAAGAACAAAUGUGUAAGUAACUAUGCACGUCUUGACGGUACCUAAUCAGAAAGCCACGGCUAACUACGUG
rnacentral:rRNA from 1 species